GACGAACGCUGGCGGCGCGCCUAACACAUGCAAGUCGAACGAGCGAGCGAGAGCUUGCUUUCUCAAGCGAUUGGCGCACGGGUGAGUAACGCGUGAGGAACCUGCCUCAAAGAGGGGGACAACAGUUGGAGACGACUGCUCAUACCGCAUAAGCCCACGACCCGGCAUCGGGUAGAGGGAAAAGGAGCAAUCCGCUUUGAGGUGGCCUCGCGUCCGCUUCGCUAGUUGGUGAGGUAACGGCCCACCAAGGCGACGAUCGGUAGCCGGACUGAGAGGUUAAACGGCCACAUUGGGACUGAGACACGGCCCAGACUCCUACGGGAGGCAGCAGUGGGGAAUAUUGCACAAUGGGGGAAACCCUGAUGCAGCGACGCCGCGUGGAGGAAGAAGGUCUUCGGAUUGUAAACUCCUGCUGUUGAGGAAGAUAAUGACGGUACUCAACAAGGAAGUGACGGCUAACUACGUG
rnacentral:rRNA from 1 species